rnacentral:rRNA from 1 species
AGCAGCCGCGGUAAUUCCAGCUCCAAUAGCGUAUAUUAAAGUUGUUGCAGUUAAAAAGCUCGUAGUUGAAUUUCGGGGUUAGUAGGUUGGUCAUGCCUCUGGUAUGUACUGAUCUCACUGAUUCCUCCUUCCUUAUGAACCGUAAUGCCAUUAAUUUGGUGUUGCGGGGAAUUUGGACUGUUACUUUGAAAAAAUUAGAGUGUUUAAAGCAAGCUAACGCUUGAAUACAUUAGCAUGGAAUAAUGAAAUAGGACGUUCGAUCUUAUUUUGUUGGUUUCUAGGAUUGACGUAAUGAUUAAUAGGGACAGUUGGGGGCAUUAGUAUUCAAUUGUCAGAGGUGAAAUUCUUGGAUUUAUUGAAGACUAACUACUGCGAAAGCAUUUGCCAAGGAUGUUUUCAUUAAUCAAGAACGAAAGUUAGGGGAUCGAAGACGACCAGAGUACCGUCGUAGUCUUAACCUACUAAACUAAUGCCGACUACGGAGUCGGAGUGAUGUUAAUUUUUUAAUUAGUACUCAUUC